rnacentral:rRNA from 1 species
CUACGGGCUGCUGCAGUGAGGAAUUUUGCGCAAUGGGGGAAACCCUGACGCAGCAACGCCGCGUGAAUGAAGAAGGCUUUCGGGUCGUAAAGCUCUGUCAGAUAGGAAAAAAGUUCAUAUGUAAAUAGCUUAUGAAUCUGAUGGUACUAUCAGAGGAAGCACCGGCUAACUCCGUGCCAGCAGCCGCGGUAAUACGGAGGGUGCAAGCGUUGUUCGGAAUUACUGGGCGUAAAGGGCGUGUAGGCGGUAUGGUGAGUCAGAUGUGAAAGCCCUGGGCUUAACUCAGGAAGUGCAUUUGAUACUGCCAUCCUUGAGUAUGGGAGAGGAGAGUAGAAUUCCCAGUGUAGAGGUGAAAUUCGUAGAUAUUGGGAGGAAUACCCGUGGCGAAGGCGACUCUCUGGACCAAUACUGACGCUGAGACGCGAAAGCGUGGGGAGCAAACAGGAUUAGAUACCCCCGUAGUC